GUUGAUUAAAAAUCACUGUGGCUUUGACUUUCACUGUGGUUAAGCUGGGCUGCCCAGGGCCAGUGAGACCACAGCUCAGUGCUCACUCUCCAGUGUGUGGAGGUCAAACCCAGGCCCUGACAUGC